UCACUACACCAGUUCAUAUUAUAAACUUAGAAGGAUACAGAAAAAAUUAAUGAGGCCCCAGUGCAAGGAUGGUACCCAUAUUUUCGAACCAUUCCUUACUAUU
rnacentral:snRNA from 1 species